rnacentral:rRNA from 1 species
AGUCUCUCAAUCACAUGACAGCAAAACUAACUCAAAAUCUGAUUUAGAAGCUUUUCCCACAUAAUUAAGAAAGCCUGACUUGCAAGCAGGUCAACAAGUACUACCUAGCCGACACUGCUUCCCAUCGGUUCCAUUUCAGCAAUUUCAGGUACUAUUUAACUCUCUUUUCAAAGUUCUUUGCAUCUUUCCCUCACGGUACUUGUUCGCUAUCGGUCUCCCAUUUAUAUUUAGCUUUAGAUGGAAUUUACCACCCACUUAGAGCUGCAAUCCCAAACAACUCGACUCUUAGAAAGCCAGUUGUACACGACUUCGUUUCAGACAUGAACGGGGCUGUCACCCUCCACGGCGCUCUGUUCCAAAGACUUUAUCCGAAAUAAUGCUGACUUGACUUCUCCAGACUACAACGCCGAAGCUUUUCAGUGUGAGCUUGUCCCGCUUCACUC